AUACGGAGGGUGCGAGCGUUAAUCGGAAUUACUGGGCGUAAAGCGUACGUAGGCGGUUGGUUAAGUUAGAUGUGCAAGCCCCGGGCUUAACCUGGGAACUGCAUUUAAAACUGGCGAACUAGAGUUGAGUAGAGGGGAGUGGAAUUUCAGGUGUAGCGGUGAAAUGCGUAGAGAUCUGAAGGAACACCAGUGGCGAAGGCGACUCCCUGGACUCGAACUGACGCUGAGGUACGAAAGCGUGGGUAGCAAACGGGAUUAGAAACCCCAGUAGUCC
rnacentral:rRNA from 1 species